ACUCAAAGGAAUAGACGGGGGCCCGCACAAGCGGAGGAACAUGUGGUUUAAUUCGAUGAUACGCGAGGAACCUUACCCAGGCUUAAAUUGCAGAUGAAUAUAGUGGAAACAUUAUAGCCAGCAAUGGCAUCUGUGAAGGUGCUGCAUGGUUGUCGUCAGCUCGUGCCGUGAGGUGUCGGCUUAAGUGCCAUAACGAGCGCAACCCUUAUCGAUAGUUACUAACAGUUUAAGCUGAGGACUCUAUUGAGACUGCCGUCGUAAGAUGCGAGGAAGGUGGGGAUGACGUCAAAUCAGCACGGCCCUUACGUCUGGGGCUACACACGUGUUACAAUGGGGGGUACAGAAGGUCGCUACCUGGCAACAGGAUGCUAAUCCCAAAAACCUCUCACAGUUCGGAUUGGAGUCUGCAACUCGACUCCAUGAAGCUGGAUUCGCUAGUAAUCGCGCAUCAGCCACGGCGCGGUGAAUACGUUCCCGGGCCUUGUACACACCGCCCGU
rnacentral:rRNA from 1 species